AGGAGCCGUAUGAGGCGAAAGUCUCAAGUACAGUUGGGAAAGGGAGGGGAUGGGGGCGACUCCAUUCUCGACUCUAC
rfam:Arthrospira platensis NIES-39 DNA, nearly complete genome.